CAGGGCACCUCCGGACCAGACCCUACUACAGUUUACGUGGACAUGAGAGCUCUGCGACAUGAUAGGGUUCGGUUGGUGGAGAGAGGUUCUCCUCACAGUCUCCCUCUCAUGGAGUCAGGAAAGAUCCUACCUGGUGUCCGCAUCAUCAUCGCCAACCCAGAGACUAAGG